GACGAACGCUGGCGGCGUGCCUAAUACAUGCAAGUAGAACGCUGAAGGAGGAGCUUGCUUCUCUGGAUGAGUUGCGAACGGGUGAGUAACGCGUAGGUAACCUGCCUGGUAGCGGGGGAUAACUAUUGGAAACGAUAGCUAAUACCGCAUAAUAGCAGUUGUUGCAUGAUAACUGUUUGAAAGGUGCAAUUGCACCACUACCAGAUGGACCUGCGUUGUAUUAGCUAGUUGGUGGGGUAACGGCUCACCAAGGCGACGAUACAUAGCCGACCUGAGAGGGUGAUCGGCCACACUGGGACUGAGACACGGCCCAGACUCCUACGGGAGGCAGCAGUAGGGAAUCUUCGGCAAUGGACGGAAGUCUGACCGAGCAACGCCGCGUGAGUGAAGAAGGUUUUCGGAUCGUAAAGCUCUGUUGUAAGAGAAGAACGAGUGGAGAGGGAAAGUUCACAC
rnacentral:rRNA from 1 species